UACGUAGGGUGCGAGCGUUGUCCGGAACUACUGGGCGUAAAGAGCUCGUAGGUGGUUUGUCGCGUUGUCCGUGAAAACUCACAACUCAAUUGUGGGCGUGCGGGCGAUACGGGCAGACUGGAGUACUGCAGGGGAGACUGGAAUUCCUGGUGUAGCGGUGGAAUGCGCAGAUAUCAGGAGGAACACCGGUGGCGAAGGCGGGUCUCUGGGCAGUAACUGACGCUGAGGAGCGAAAGCGUGGGGAGCGAACAGG
rnacentral:rRNA from 1 species